UCUGUAUUCCUGCAUGGCAGAGGGUUGGACUGGAUGGCCCUUGUCUCUUCCAACUCUACGAUUCUAAGAUUCCCAAUGUUCACAAAAAAUGGAUGCAUUAUUUGUGUGGCAAAUUUCCCAUGCAUGAAACUUAAUCACUCCAUCCACUGCUGGUGAUCAAAAAUGCAACUUUAAUGUGUGAGCUACUCAUUCAUGGCUGAGCAAUUAUUUUGCUAAAAAUUUGACCAUGUAAAAUGGAGAAAAGGGGCAGAGGAAUUAGAAUGAUCCCAUUAAAGCAUUGGGAGGAAGCUGCUGUGUGGAGGUGGCUUCUGUAGCUUCAUAAUUCCAAACUGGCCUGAAGGAUUAGGACUCUGCUGCCGGCUGUCAGGUUAGACCAUGAUGGAUGUUCACUGAUGGUAACAGCACAAAGACGACACUUGAAAUGUCACACCAGUGAAACAAUGUGAUGGAGAGCUUCAUAGAAAUCAAGAGAGAAAUUUGAGAAGGAAAAAGUCUACAAAAUAUCUAUCUAUCUUAGUGGAACACAGAUGGCAAGCACAUACUCUCCAACUGUCCUGAAAAGGGCUUCCUUCCUUUAGGAGCCAACAGUGCAUCUCCAGAAGACACCAACAGCUCAAAGCAGUGGUGGUGACCAGUGGCUCCCAUGUCCAUGAGGCUGUGAAUCUGCUCUGGCUUUUAGUCUGAACUUUAAAAGAGUUAUCUAAAAUGUUGAAUUAAUCUGAGGGUACAGUUCAGCUCUGUGGCUUGCUCUUUAUAAGUCUGGAGUCUGCAAGAUUCCUAUUCCACUCUCCUGAAAGCCACCUGCAGCCACCAUUACAAAAAGAUAGAAUGGUACUCUCCUAAGAUGUAUGGUUGCCAAACUUUCUGUUUCAUCUUCUUUCUCAGGGUUGCUUGCUUCAGUUUCGAUUGCAGAGAAAUUGUGGUUGAUAAAAACAAAGACUGACAAAAACAACUUUUUCCUGUCCCUAGAUAUCUGUACAGUUGGUUGGCAUCAUGCUCUGCAGUUUCACGUUCCAGAUACUCAUGGCCCAGAGUCUCAGUGAUUGUCACAAAUGCUCAGCAAGGUAGAUACAGGGACGUAGCCAAGGGGGGGUAUUGGGGCCCGGACCCCCCUUCCAUUAGAUAAAAUGAAUGGUGCGUGCUGCCACACCGCCACACCCAAGCCCCAUUAUAAUGGUGGCACUUAGUCUGGACCCCCCCCCCCAUUCCCAAAAUCUAUGUCCCUGGUAGAUAAGAGCAGCAAGUUGCAAAAGUCCCCCUAGUAUGUUGUGCAGCUAAUUAGAAGUCAUACAUCAAGCUUACAAGUAUUGCCAGUAUACAAGUAUUGUCAGCAGAAAUUACAAUCAGGCUGCACACUACACCUCCAAAUUAUCCCAUUUCUCAAGAGGUUUUAGAAAAAGACCUCUUUCAAACAUGCAUGUAAAUGACAUAAAUGGAUUGCUUUAUCUAAUGUCAGUGGAUCUGGCCAAAGACUAAAUAAUUUUGCAUAACUAUUCUUAUAUGAUUAUUUUAAAUAGACAAAUAGAUAGUGAAUGAAUGAGUGAGUAUGUUGGAUCAUCUCUCUCUCUCUCUCUCUCUCUCUCUCUCUCCAUGCAUCCAUAUUGCCUUUGUUGAUUCUUUUGCCCAUCAGAGUGAUGUCAAUAAACUAAAUAAAAAUAUUCUUUAAACACAGACAGCAACUUUAAAAGCAAAUUUUAAAAACCAUUUUUAAAACCACAGGCCAAAUGUAUUAAUACAGCUUUACCGCCUUCUGGAAAUUCAUCAAGGGUGAAUUCCUUUUCUGCUUUCUGGGGCAGGGGAGAUAUCAGUUUAGAUUGUGCUAACCCAGAGGUUACGAGAAACGGUGAUUACUUCAAUUGUUCACUAGGGCUUGCUGGCCCUGGUGUAUACAAUGGGCAGUGAAACAGGUGGUUGUUACGGGGGACAGCUUUGAGGGAGAAGGAUUCUGAGUGAUAUGCUGCUGCAGCAGCACCAACCAAAACCCAAAGGAAUGACAGCUGUCUGGGCAUGGAAAUGAUCUAAGGAAUGGAGAAGAUCUAAGGGGAAAAGCAGGGCUUGCAAAUGGCCAUUAAAGGACAAACAGUCCGAUAAGCCACUUCAAAAACAUGUAUUUAGAAUUUAACUUCAUUUUAUAUAGGCUGGCAUCUUGUUAGAUAUUUAUGUCAUUAUAAACUGUCUUGCAAUCAUGUGAUGGUGAAUUGUGAUGUUGUGCAAUGCUGAUAUUCUCAGGAGAGGAGCAGAGAUAUUAUGCAUCUGGGAUCACCAUGCAAACAGCAUAGUCGUAUGGCUGUUAUACAGUGAACCCAGUGCAAGAUGUGUCCUGUUACAGAAUAUGUCUCUAUGGACUUUAGAACAUUUUGUGCAUCAGGACGCAUUGCUCAAUGAUAACUCUUGUAAAAAUAACAGGACAACUUAGACAGUGCCUUGUUAUACAUUUUCACGAUCUGCUUGUAUGGUUGCAUAUCAUGUCUGUGACAUAGUUCCAUCAUUGUAAAGUUACACAUUGUAAUCUCUAAUGCAGGAUAUUGACUGUUGUAUUCAGUCCACAGAUUGAGAAAAUAACAUUUUUGGGCUGUAACUCCCAGAAUUAAUAGAAUUAGAGAGUUGGAAGAGACCCCAAAGACCAUCCAG